rnacentral:sRNA from 1 species
GCCAGGUGUGGUGGUGCAUGCCUGAAAUUCCAAUGGCUCCGGAGGCUGAGGCAGGAGGAUUGCAAGUUCAGAGCCAGCCUCAGCAACUUAGCGGGGCCCUAAGUAACUCAGUGAGACCCUGUCUCUA